CGUUUCCGACUGUUGUUUAUAAACUACCUUUGAACGCGUAUCAUUCCCGCUAUUUUCCAAUGAAAUAGAAACCAAUUGUUCGUGCAUUGUUGCUUUUGUUUUCAAUUAUCUUGUAACUUCGCGAUACUUUCGCUAUGACGAGUUCCGUUACCACGAAUCCAUCGACUCUGUUGCCUUUAGAGUUAGUUGACAAAUGCAUCGGUUCUCGGAUACACAUUAUCAUGAAGAACGACAAAGAAAUUGUCGGCACGUUGUUAGGUUUCGAUGACUUUGUAAAUAUGUUGCUCGAAGAUGUGACGGAAAGCGAAGCAACACCCGAGGGACGUAGAGUCACGAAGCUCGAUCUGAUUUUACUCAAUGGAAGCAAUAUUACGAUGCUUGUACCUGGCGGAGAGAUGCCAGACACGUAAAAUAACAACGUUUUUGUUACAUUUUGUACAAUAAAGAUAUAAAGACUAAUCUAAGCAUAUGUAAUACAAAAAUUAAUGUUCCGAUUAAAAGUCUAUCGAUGGUAUCUUGCGACCACAUUUUUCUGUAUAACGUUUUAUAAACACCUUCGAAACCAUCGUUCAUGUCGUCGUUCUCGGGACGAUUACCU